rnacentral:rRNA from 1 species
AGCAGCCGCGGUAAUUCCAGCUCCAAUAGCGUAUAUUAAAGUUGUUGCAGUUAAAAAGCUCGUAGUUGAAUUUCGGAAUUUGUCGGUUGGUCGGGCUUCAUUGUCCGCACUGGCCUGAUAGAUUCCUACCUUCUGAAUAACCAGCAUGCUAUUAAGUUAGUGCGUUGGGGAAGCAGAGCUAUUACCUUGAAAAAAUUAGAGUGCUUAAAGCAGGCUUGUGCUUGAAUAGAUUAGCAUGGAAUAAUAAAAUAGGACGGCAUGGUUCUAUUUUGUUGGUUUCUAGGAUCACCGUAAUGAUUAAUAGGGAUAGUUGGGGGCAUUAGUAUUCAAUUGUCAGAGGUGAAAUUCUUGGAUUUAUUGAAGACUAACUACUGCGAAAGCAUUUGCCAAGGAUGUUUUCAUUAAUCAAGAACGAAAGUUAGGGGAUCGAAGACGAUCAGAUACCGUCGUAGUCUUAACCAUAAACUAUAGCCGACUAGGAAUCAGACGAUGUUAAUUUUUAAUGUACUCGUUUGG